rnacentral:rRNA from 1 species
CCUACGGGAGGCAGCAGUGAGGAAUAUUGGUCAAUGGACGAGAGUCUGAACCAGCCAAGUAGCGUGAAGGAUGACUGCCCUAUGGGUUGUAAACUUCUUUUAUAUGGGAAUAAAAUGUUCCACGUGUGGGAUUUUGUAUGUACCAUAUGAAUAAGGAUCGGCUAACUCCGUGCCAGCAGCCGCGGUAAUACGGAGGAUCCGAGCGUUAUCCGGAUUUAUUGGGUUUAAAGGGAGCGUAGGUGGAUUGUUAAGUCAGUUGUGAAAGUUUGCGGCUCAACCGUAAAAUUGCAGUUGAAACUGGCAGUCUUGAGUACAGUAGAGGUGGGCGGAAUUCGUGGUGUAGCGGUGAAAUGCAUAGAUAUCACGAAGAACUCCGAUGGCGAAGGCAGUUCACUGGACUGCAACUGACACUGAGGCUCGAAAGUGUGGGUAUCAAACAGGAUUAGAUACCCUUGUAGUC